UGAUUCUGAAUUACUAAAAUAUUCUUACUAAAUUGGAAUGAUACAGAUUAGCAUGGCCCCUGCACAAGAAUGACAGUGUAUCCUUUCAGGGAUAGUGAUAAAAU